ensembl:snRNA U6 U6 spliceosomal RNA
GUUCAGUUUGGCAGCACAUAUACUAAAAUGAGAAUGAUACAGAAAAGGUUAGCAUGGCCCCUGUGCAAGGAUAACAUAAAUAUUUACAAAACAUUUCAUAUUUAA